rnacentral:misc_RNA from 1 species
UCCUCCGCUUAUUGAUAUGCUUAAGUUCAGCGGGUAUCCCUACCUGAUCCGAGGUCAACCUGGAAAGAAUGGUUGGAAAACGUCGGCAGGCGCCGGCCAAUCCUACAGAGCAUGUGACAAAGCCCCAUACGCUCGAGGAUCGGACGCGGUGCCGCCGCUGCCUUUCGGGCCCGUCCCCCCGGAGAGGGGGACGGCGACCCAACACACAAGCCGGGCUUGAGGGCAGCAAUGACGCUCGGACAGGCAUGCCCCCCGGAAUACCAGGGGGCGCAAUGUGCGUUCAAAGACUCGAUGAUUCACUGAAUUCUGCAAUUCACAUUAGUUAUCGCAUUUCGCUGCGUUCUUCAUCGAUGCCGGAACCAAGAGAUCCAUUGUUGAAGGUUUUAACUGAUUGCAUUCAAUCAACUCAGACUGCACGCUUUCAGACAGUGUUCGUGUUGGGGUCUCCGGCGGGCACGGGCCCGGGGGGCAGAGGCGCCCCCCCGGCGGCCGACAAGCGGCGGGCCCGCCGAAGCAACAGGGUACAAUAGACACGGAUGGGAGGUUGGGCCCAAAGGACCCGCACUCGGUAAUGAUCCUUCCGCAAGGUUCACCUACGGA